CUGGCGGCGUGCCUAAUACAUGCAAGUCGAACGCACAGCGAAAGGUGCUUGCACCUUUCAAGUGAGUGGCGAACGGGUGAGUAACACGUGGACAACCUGCCUCAAGGCUGGGGAUAACAUUUGGAAACAGAUGCUAAUACCGAAUAAAACUUAGUGUCGCAUGACACAAAGUUAAAAGGCGCUUCGGCGUCACCUAGAGAUGGAUCCGCGGUGCAUUAGUUAGUUGGUGGGGUAAAGGCCUACCAAGACAAUGAUGCAUAGCCGAGUUGAGAGACUGAUCGGCCACAUUGGGACUGAGACACGGCCCAAACUCCUACGGGAGGCUGCAGUAGGGAAUCUUCCACAAUGGGCGAAAGCCUGAUGGAGCAACGCCGCGUGUGUGAUGAAGGCUUUCGGGUCGUAAAGCACUGUUGUAUGGGAAGAACAGCUAGAAUAGGAAAUGAUUUUAGUUUGACGGUACCAUACCAGAAAGGGACGGCUAAAUACGUGCCAGCAGCCGCGGUAAUACGUAUGUCCCGAGCGUUAUCCGGAUUUAUUGGGCGUAAAGCGAGCGCAGACGGUUUAUUAAGUCUGAUGUGAAAGCCCGGAGCUCAACUCCGGAAUGGCAUUGGAAACUGGUUAACUUGAGUGCAGUAGAGGUAAGUGGAACUCCAUGUGUAGCGGUGGAAUGCGUAGAUAUAUGGAAGAACACCAGUGGCGAAGGCGGCUUACUGGACUGCAACUGACGUUGAGGCUCGAAAGUGUGGGUAGCAAACAGGAUUAGAUACCCUGGUAGUCCACACCGUAAACGAUGAACACUAGGUGUUAGGAGGUUUCCGCCUCUUAGUGCCGAAGCUAACGCAUUAAGUGUUCCGCCUGGGGAGUACGACCGCAAGGUUGAAACUCAAAGGAAUUGACGGGGACCCGCACAAGCGGUGGAGCAUGUGGUUUAAUUCGAAGCAACGCGAAGAACCUUACCAGGUCUUGACAUCCUUUGAAGCUUUUAGAGAUAGAAGUGUUCUCUUCGGAGACAAAGUGACAGGUGGUGCAUGGUCGUCGUCAGCUCGUGUCGUGAGAUGUUGGGUUAAGUCCCGCAACGAGCGCAACCCUUAUUGUUAGUUGCCAGCAUUCAGAUGGGCACUCUAGCGAGACUGCCGGUGACAAACCGGAGGAAGGCGGGGACGACGUCAGAUCAUCAUGCCCCUUAUGACCUGGGCUACACACGUGCUACAAUGGCGUAUACAACGAGUUGCCAACCCGCGAGGGUGAGCUAAUCUCUUAAAGUACGUCUCAGUUCGGAUUGUAGUCUGCAACUCGACUACAUGAAGUCGGAAUCGCUAGUAAUCGCGGAUCAGCACGCCGCGGUGAAUACGUUCCCGGGUCUUGUACACACCGCCCGUCACACCAUGGGAGUUUGUAAUGCCCAAAGCCGGUGGCCUAACCUUUUAGGAAGGAGCCGUCUAAGGCAGGACAGAUGACUGG
rnacentral:rRNA from 2 species